rnacentral:rRNA from 1 species
AAACGUAACAAGGUUUCCGUAGGUGAACCUGCGGAAGGAUCAUUA